GAUGGCAUUCCAAACCAAUUGAAACUAGCAGCAAUGGCCAUCGAUUUGAACGUCCGCCUGAGAUCCGCCGAUAUGCCUCUCGCAAUGCAAGAGCGAGCUAUCCGGAGAGCCAGAGCUUUAGUCGACGCUAACAACCCAGGAAUUUGAUGCGUUGUACGGACCGGCAUGGCAUUGCAUAGUGGGGAAGAG